UGCUGGCAACUGCAGGGAUUCGACGGAACCUGCGGAAGGAUCAUUA
rnacentral:rRNA from 1 species